rnacentral:rRNA from 1 species
GACAGAGAGGGCGAGCGUUGUCCGGAGUCACUGGGCGUAAAGCGCGCGCAGGCGGCUAUGUUAGUGUCGUGUGAAAGCCCCCGGCUCAACCGGGGGAGGCCAUGGCAAACUGGGUCGCUCGAGCUGCGGAGAGGCCCCUCGAAUUGCCGGUGUAGCGGUGAAAUGCGUAGAGAUCGGCAGGAAGACCAAGGGUGAAGCAAGGGGGCUGGCCGCGGGUUGACGCUGAGGCGCGACAGCGUGGGGAGCAAACCGG